AGUGAACGCUGGCGGUAGGCCUAACACAUGCAAGUCGAACGGCAGCACAGUAAGAGCUUGCUCUUACGGGUGGCGAGUGGCGGACGGGUGAGGAAUACAUCGGAAUCUACUUUUUCGUGGGGGAUAACGUAGGGAAACUUACGCUAAUACCGCAUACUACCUACGGGUGAAAGCAUGGGAUCUUCGGACCUUUCGCGAUUGAAUGAGCCGAUGUCGGAUUAGCUAGUUGGCGGGGUAAAGGCCCACCAAGGCGCCGAUCCGUAGCUGGUCUGAGAGGAUGAUCAGCCAGACUGGAACUGAGACACGGUCCAGACUCCGACGGGAGGCAGCAGUGGGGAAUAUUGGACAAUGGGCGCAAGCCUGAUCCAGCCAUACCGCGUGGGUGAAGAAGGACUUCGGGUUGGAAAGCCCUUUUGUUGGGAAAGAAAAGCAGCAGGAUAAUACCCCGCUGUUCUGACGGUACCCAAAGAAUAAGCACCGGCUAACUUCGUG
rnacentral:rRNA from 1 species